ensembl:snRNA U6 U6 spliceosomal RNA
GUGCUCGCUUUGGCAGCACCUACACUAAAAUUGUGAUGAUACACAAAAGGCUGGCGUGGCUGCCGCACAAGGAUAACACACAAAGGUAUGCAGCAUUCUGUAUUUUU